rnacentral:lncRNA from 1 species
CUUGUACAUGUGAACUCCUAGCAUUCACAAAUAAUAAAAAACCCUCAUGUUUUACAACUCAACUAGGGGAGCACUUAUGCCCAACCAGAGUUAUAGUCACCAACAAAGUCUUAUUGCAAGCUAACAACAACUUCAGUGCAUGGCAUACGAAGAUCAAGCUCUUCAGCCCUCUUGCAUUUGCUUCAGACAUUUCUCUUUUGUAACAAUGCAAACACUACAAGCUGUGGCUUGCAUCACAAUCUCUUACUUAA